GGUUAACGCUGGCGGCGUGCCUAACACAUGCAAGCCGAACGGUUCUAAGCGCGAGCUUAGGAUAGUGGCGAACGGGUGAGUAAAAGGUAGGAAUCUACCCCUUGGACGGAGAUAGCUACUGGAAACGGUAGGUAAACUUCGAUAAGCCCGAGAGGGGAAAGUGGUGAGACAGCCGAGGGAUGAGCCUACUCUCCAUCAGGUAGUUGGUGAGAUAAAAGCUUACCAAGCCGAUGACGGAUAACCGGUGUGAGAGCAUGAACGGUCACAAGGGCACUGAGAGACGGGCCCUACUCCUACGGGAGGCAGCAGUGGGGAAUCUUGGACAAUGGGCGAAAGCCUGAUCCAGCGACGCCGCGUGGAGGAAGAAGUCCUUCGGGAUGUAAACUUCUGAACUAGCCGAAUAAAAGGCCUGUGGACACACAGGAGAAGAAAGUAGGCUAGGAAAAGUCCCGGCUAACUACGUG
rnacentral:rRNA from 1 species